CCUAACACAUGCAAGUCGAACGGUAACAGGAAACAGCUUGCUGUUUCGCUGACGAGUGGCGGACGGGUGAGUAAUGUCUGGGAAACUGCCUGAUGGAGGGGGAUAACUACUGGAAACGGUAGCUAAUACCGCAUAACGUCGCAAGACCAAAGAGGGGGACCCUCGGGCCUCUUGCCAUCGGAUGUGCCCAGAUGGGAUUAGCUUGUUGGUGGGGUAACGGCUCACCAAGGCGACGAUCCCUAGCUGGUCUGAGAGGAUGACCAGCCACACUGGAACUGAGACACGGUCCAGACUCCUACGGGAGGCAGCAGUGGGGAAUAUUGCACAAUGGGCGCAAGCCUGAUGCAGCCAUGC
rnacentral:rRNA from 1 species